rnacentral:rRNA from 1 species
CCUACGGGAGGCAGCAGUGAGGAAUAUUGGUCAAUGGGCGCAAGCCUGAACCAGCCAAGUCGCGUGCGGGAUGACGGUCCUAUGGAUUGUAAACCUCUUUUGUCGGGGAGCAAGGCCCGCCACGUGUGGCGGGAAGGAGAGUACCCGAAGAAAAAGCAUCGGCUAACUCCGUGCCAGCAGCCGCGGUAAUACGGAGGAUGCGAGCGUUAUCCGGAUUUAUUGGGUUUAAAGGGUUCGUAGGCGGAAGGUUAAGUCAGCGGUAAAAUGUCGGUGCUCAACACCGGCCUGCCGUUGAAACUGGUCUUCUUGAGUGAGCGAGAAGUAUGCGGAAUACGUGGUGUAGCGGUGAAAUGCAUAGAUAUCACGCAGAACUCCGAUUGCGAAGGCAGCAUACCGGCGCUCAACUGACGCUGAGGCACGAAAGCGUGGGGAUCGAACAGGAUUAGAUACCCCAGUAGUC